CGGGACGGGUGAGUAACGCGUGGAUAACCUGCCGUAUACUGGGGGAUAACACUUAGAAAUAGGUGCUAAUACCGCAUAAGCGCACAGUCUCGCAUGAGACGGUGUGAAAAACUCCGGUGGUAUACGAUGGAUCCGCGUCUGAUUAGCUUGUUGGCGGGGUAACAGCCCACCAAGGCGACGAUCAGUAGCCGGCCUGAGAGGGUGAACGACCACAUUGGGACUGAGACACGGCCCAAACUCCUACGGGAGGCAGCAG
rnacentral:rRNA from 1 species